GACGAACGCUGGCGGCGUGCUUAACACAUGCAAGUCGAACGGAAAGGCCCUGCUUUUGUGGGGUGCUCGAGUGGCGAACGGGUGAGUAACACGUGAGUAACCUGCCCUUGACUUUGGGAUAACUUCAGGAAACUUGGGCUAAUACCGGAUAGGAGCUCCUGCUGCAUGGUGGGGGUUGGAAAGUUUCGGCGGUUGGGGAUGGACUCGCGGCUUAUCAGCUUGUUGGCGGGGUAGUGGCUUACCAAGGCUUUGACGGGUAGCCGGCCUGAGAGGGUGACCGGCCACAUUGGGACUGAGAUACGGCCCAGACUCCUACGGGAGGCAGCAGUGGGGAAUAUUGCACAAUGGGCGGAAGCCUGAUGCAGCAACGCCGCGUGCGGGAUGACGGCCUUCGGGGUGUAAACCGCUUUCGCCUGUGACGAAGCGUGAGUGACGGUAAUGGGUAAAGAAGCACCGGCUAACUACGUG
rnacentral:rRNA from 1 species